rnacentral:rRNA from 1 species
UACGAAGGGGGCUAGCGUUGUUCGGAAUUACCGGGCGUAAAGCGCGCGCAGGCGGUCUUCCAAGUCAGUGGUGAAAGCCCGGAGCUCAACUCCGGAACUGCCAUUGAAACUGUAAGACUUGAGGACGAGAGAGGUGAGUGGAAUUCCCAGUGUAGAGGUGAAAUUCGUAGAUAUUGGGAGGAACACCAGUGGCGAAGGCGGCGAACUGGACGAGGACUGACACUGUGGCGCGAAAGCGUGGGGAGCAAACAGG